AGAAGCGCAUACGGUGGAUGCCUUGGCAGUCAGAGGCGAUGAAAGACGUGGUAGCCUGCGAAAAGCUUCGGGGAGUCGGCAAACAGACUGUGAUCCGGAGAUGUCUGAAUGGGGGAACCCAGCCAUCAUAAGAUGGUUAUCUUGUACUGAAUACAUAGGUGCAAGAGGCGAACCAGGGGAACUGAAACAUCUAAGUACCCUGAGGAAAAGAAAUCAACCGAGAUUCCCUUAGUAGUGGCGAGCGAACGGGGACCAGCCCUUAAGUUGUAUUGAGAUUAGCGGAACGUUCUGGAAAGGACGGCCAUAGUGGGUGAUAGCCCUGUACGCGAAAAUCCCUUUGCAAUGAAAUCGAGUAGGACGGGGCACGAGAAACCUUGUCUGAAUAUGGGGGGACCAUCCUCCAAGGCUAAAUACUACUGACUGACCGAUAGUGAACCAGUACCGUGAGGGAAAGGCGAAAAGAACCGCGGAGAGCGGAGUGAAAUAGAUCCUGAAACCGUAUGCGUACAAGCAGUGGGAGCCCACUUGUUGGGUGACUGCGUACCUUUUGUAUAAUGGGUCAGCGACUUAUUUUCAGUGGCGAGCUUAACCGAAUAGGGGAGGCGUAGCGAAAGCGAGUCUUAAUAGGGCGUCUAGUCGCUGGGAAUAGACCCGAAACCGGGCGAUCUAUCCAUGGGCAGGUUGAAGGUUGGGUAACACUAACUGGAGGACCGAACCGACUACCGUUGAAAAGUUAGCGGAUGACCUGUGGAUCGGAGUGAAAGGCUAAUCAAGCUCGGAGAUAGCUGGUUCUCCUCGAAAGCUAUUUAGGUAGCGCCUCAUGUAUCACUGUAGGGGGUAGAGCACUGUUUCGGCUAGGGGGUCAUCCCGACUUACCAAACCGAUGCAAACUCCGAAUACCUACAAGUGCCGAGCAUGGGAGACACACGGCGGGUGCUAACGUCCGUCGUGAAAAGGGAAACAACCCAGACCGUCAGCUAAGGUCCCAAAGUCAUGGUUAAGUGGGAAACGAUGUGGGAAGGCUUAGACAGCUAGGAGGUUGGCUUAGAAGCAGCCACCCUUUAAAGAAAGCGUAAUAGCUCACUAGUCGAGUCGGCCUGCGCGGAAGAUGUAACGGGGCUCAAACCAUGCACCGAAGCUACGGGUAUCAUCUUAUGAUGAUGCGGUAGAGGAGCGUUCUGUAAGCCUGUGAAGGUGAGUUGAGAAGCUUGCUGGAGGUAUCAGAAGUGCGAAUGCUGACAUGAGUAACGACAAUGGGUGUGAAAAACACCCACGCCGAAAGACCAAGGUUUCCUGCGCAACGUUAAUCGACGCAGGGUUAGUCGGUCCCUAAGGCGAGGCUGAAAAGCGUAGUCGAUGGAAAACAGGUUAAUAUUCCUGUACUUCUGGUUAUUGCGAUGGAGGGACGGAGAAGGCUAGGCCAGCCUGGCGUUGGUUGUCCAGGUUUAAGGUGGUAGGCUGAGAUCUUAGGUAAAUCCGGGAUCUUAAGGCCGAGAGCUGAUGACGAGUGUUCUUUUAGAACACGAAGUGGUUGAUGCCAUGCUUCCAAGAAAAGCUUCUAAGCUUCAGGUAACCAGGAACCGUACCCCAAACCGACACAGGUGGUUGGGUAGAGAAUACCAAGGCGCUUGAGAGAACUCGGGUGAAGGAACUAGGCAAAAUGGCACCGUAACUUCGGGAGAAGGUGCGCCGGUGGAGGUGAAGCAUUUACUGCGUAAGCCCCUGCCGGUCGAAGAUACCAGGCCGCUGCGACUGUUUAUUAAAAACACAGCACUCUGCAAACACGAAAGUGGACGUAUAGGGUGUGACGCCUGCCCGGUGCCGGAAGGUUAAUUGAUGGGGUUAGCGCAAGCGAAGCUCUUGAUCGAAGCCCCGGUAAACGGCGGCCGUAACUAUAACGGUCCUAAGGUAGCGAAAUUCCUUGUCGGGUAAGUUCCGACCUGCACGAAUGGCGUAACGAUGGCGGCGCUGUCUCCACCCGAGACUCAGUGAAAUUGAAAUCGCUGUGAAGAUGCAGUGUAUCCGCGGCUAGACGGAAAGACCCCGUGAACCUUUACUAUAGCUUUGCACUGGACUUUGAAUUUGCUUGUGUAGGAUAGGUGGGAGGCUUUGAAGCGUGGACGCCAGUCUGCGUGGAGCCAACCUUGAAAUACCACCCUGGCAACUUUGAGGUUCUAACUCAGGUCCGUUAUCCGGAUCGAGGACAGUGUAUGGUGGGUAGUUUGACUGGGGCGGUCUCCUCCUAAAGAGUAACGGAGGAGUACGAAGGUGCGCUCAGACCGGUCGGAAAUCGGUCGUAGAGUAUAAAGGCAAAAGCGCGCUUGACUGCGAGACAGACACGUCGAGCAGGUACGAAAGUAGGUCUUAGUGAUCCGGUGGUUCUGUAUGGAAGGGCCAUCGCUCAACGGAUAAAAGGUACUCCGGGGAUAACAGGCUGAUACCGCCCAAGAGUUCAUAUCGACGGCGGUGUUUGGCACCUCGAUGUCGGCUCAUCACAUCCUGGGGCUGAAGCCGGUCCCAAGGGUAUGGCUGUUCGCCAUUUAAAGUGGUACGCGAGCUGGGUUUAGAACGUCGUGAGACAGUUCGGUCCCUAUCUGCCGUGGACGUUUGAGAUUUGAGAGGGGCUGCUCCUAGUACGAGAGGACCGGAGUGGACGAACCUCUGGUGUUCCGGUUGUCACGCCAGUGGCAUUGCCGGGUAGCUAUGUUCGGAAAAGAUAACCGCUGAAAGCAUCUAAGCGGGAAACUUGCCUCAAGAUGAGAUCUCACUGGAACCUUGAGUUCCCUAAAGGGCCGUCGAAGACUACGACGUUGAUAGGUUGGGUGUGUAAGCGCUGUGAGGCGUUGAGCUAACCAAUACUAAUUGCCCGUGAGGCUUGACC
rnacentral:rRNA from 1 species